GGGGGCGCUGCAGUUCUAACUGUGCUCCAAGAAACACCAACGAAUGAACGACGGUCCGAAGGGAGAAGAGGACGGAGCCGCUGAACGGAGCCGGAUUUACCGGCAGAUUAGUAACGGGCUGCUAGAGAGCGACUCGUUAGCUCUAGUAGCCUGGUUAGCUGUGUUAGCUCUAGUAGCCUGGUGAGCUGUGUUAGCUCUAGUAGCCUGGUUAACUUGUGUUAGCUCUAGUAGCCUGGUCAGCUGUGUUAGCUCUAGUAGCCUGGUUAGCUGUGUUAGCUCUAGUAGACUGGAUAGCUGUGUUAGCUCUAGUAGCCUGGUUAGCUGUGUUAGCUCUAGUAGCCUGGAUAGCUGUGUUAGCUCUAGUAGCCUGGUUAACUUGCGUUAGCUCUCGUAGCCUGGUUAGCUGUGUUAGCGCUAGUAGUCUGGUUAGCUGUGUUAGCUCUAGUAGCCUGGUUAGCUGUGUUAGCUCUAGUAGCAUGGUUAGCUAUGUUAGCUCUAGUAGCCUGGUUAACUUGUGUUAGGUCUAGUAGCCUGGUUAGCUGUGUUAGCUCCAGUAGCCUGGUUAGCUGUGUUAGCUCUAGUAGCCUGGUUAGGUGUGUUAGCUCCAGUAGCCUGGUUAGCUGUGUUAGCUCCAGUAGCCUGGUUAGCUGUGUUAGCUCCAGUAGCCUGGUUAGCUGUGUUAGCUCUAGUAACCUGGUUAGCUGUGGUAGCUCUAGUAGCCUGGUUAGCUGUAUUAGCUCUAGUAGCCUGGAUAGCUGUGUUAGCUCUAGUAGCCUGGUUAACUUGUGUUAGCUCCAGUAGCCUGGUCAGCUGUGUUAGCUCUAGUAGCCUGGUUAGCUGUGGUAGCUCUAGUAGCCUGGUUAGCUGUGUUAGCUCUAGUAGCCUGGAUAGCUGUGUUAGCUCUAGUAGCCUGGUUAGCUGUGUUAGCUCCAGUAGCCUGGUUAGCUGUGUUAGCUCUAGUAGCCUGGUUAGCUGUGUUAGCUCUAGUAGCCUGGUUAGCUGUGUUAGCUCUAGUAACCUGGUUAGCUGUGUUAGCUCUAGUAGCCUGGUUAGCUGUGUUAGCUCUAGUAGCCUGAUUAACUUGUGUUAGCUCUAGUAACCUGGUUAGCUGUGUUAGCUCUAGUAGCCUGGUUAGCUGUGUUAGCUCUAGUAGCCUGAUUAACUUGUGUUAGCUCUAGUAGCCUGGUUAGUUGUGUUAGCUCUAGUAACCUGGUUAGCUGUGUUAGCUCCAGUAGCCUGGUUAGCUGUGUUAGCUCUAGUAGCCUGAUUAACUUGUGUUAGCUCUAGUAACCUGGUUAGCUUUGUUAGCUCCAUUAGCCUGGUUAGCUGUGGUAGCUCUAGUAGCCUGGUUAACUUGUGUUAGAUCCAGUAGCCUGGUUAGCUGUGUUAGCUCCAGUAGCCUGGUUAGCUCUAGUAGCCUGGUUAACUUGUGUUAGCUCUAGUAGCCUGGUUAGCUGUGUUAGCUCUAGUAGCCUGGUUAGCUGUGUUAGCUCUAGUAGCCUGGUUAGCUGUGUUAGCUCUAGUAGCCUGGUUAGCUGUGUUAGCUCUAGUAGCCUGGUUAACUUGUGUUAGCUCUCGUAGCCUGAUUAACUUGUGUUAGCUCUCGUAGCCUGGUUAGGUGUGUUAGCUCUAGUAGCCUGGUUAGCUGUGUUAGCUCUAGUAGCCUGGUUAGCUGUGUCAGCUCUAGUAGCCUGGUUAACUUGUGUUAUAAGAUCAAUUUGUAUUAAUCACGAAGGAAAUAAUUGUGCCAGAUUUUACUCAGUAAACGUACAAUAACGAGUAAAUGCAGUGAGCCAACAGAGUAGCAAUAAACUGAAUGUAUUAUUGUUAAAAAAAAUAAUAUAAAUAAGCUAAAAUGAAUCUGCAGUAGAAAAGUUUGAAGUAAUACUUGUGAUGAUAUUGAAGAAGUAAAGUAAUUUUACACAAGAUGAAAAUGUGAAGAAAAAAGGCUCAUAUUGUAGGGGAGUGCGUCUUAAUAAUAAUAAAUAUAAUAAUACAUUUUAUUUGUAUAGCGCUUUUCAAAAUACACAAAGUUACUUUACAUAGUUCUAUAUAAAAUCAGCAAACAUUCAAACAGGAGUAUCAUAAAGCAAGUCAUAAAACACAUCAUAGAAAUAAGUUCUAAACAGUUCUGAACAAGUGGUCCUGAUAACGUUUUGUUUUUUCUCUUCUGCAGUUCAUCAGCCACCAGAGAGUCCUGAAGAGUACAAACUUAACGAGAAGCAGAAGGAUCAUCCUUGAUGUGUCUCCUGUCUGGAUGUACAGCCGACAUGUCAUUCAUAUUAUUAGGAACACCUGAGAAAUCUCAUGCAGCACAGUACUCACAGGAAAGGGCUGAUUCUAAUUUAUUAUUGGGCUGUUUGGUGCUAAACUGUACUCCAUCUAAAGUAUUCCUAAAUGGUGUUGAUGUGUAGCAGCAGUAGAAAUGUCAGUAGAAACUCUAGUAGAAACGUCAGCAGAAAGUCCAGUAGAAACGUCAGUAGAAACUCUAGUAGAAACUCUAGUAGAAACGUCAGUAGAAACUAGUAGAAACAUCAGUAGAAACUCUAGUAGAAACGUCAGUAGAAACUCUAGUAGAAACGUCAGUAGAAACUCUAGGAGAAACGUCAAUAGAAACUCUAGUAGAAACGUCAGUAGAAACUCUAGUAGAAACGUCAGUAGAAACUCUAGGAGAAACGUCAAUAGAAACUCUAGUAGAAACUCUAGUAGAAACGUCAAUAGAAACUCUAGUAGAAAUGUCAGUAGAAACUCCAGUAGAAACGUCAGUAGAAACUCUAGUAGAAACGUCAGUAGAAACUCUAGGAGAAACUAGUAGAAACUCUAGUAGAAACUCUAGUAGAAACUAUAGUAGAAACUUCAGCAGCAAUAAGAAAACCAGUCGAUAGUUUCACUAGAAGGUCCUGAAAGCUCAGAACGUCUCACUGCAAGAACAAACCUUGCAAACCUUUGUUCUGAUGUGUUGUUCUAGAGCAGAUUCAGUUUCUUCACCUGGUCCAAAGCAAAGACAUGAACCAAGUUUCAGCGUUACAGUCGUUAGAAAACGGUGCCAAUUUAUCGUUAUUUAUUCAGGUCGGUGGGUGGAGCAAAGAAAAUACGACAACUUGUUUGUUUACAUGAAGUCUGGAGGAUCCAGAUCUCUAAUAAAGUUUCUAUGAGGAGACUUCAUCUUGUUCUGUUGUCUGUUUACAGUAAGGAAUGAAUCCAGCAGUGAGAAGUAUCAGCA
ensembl:lncRNA